GUGUUUUUAUAUAUAUUUUUGUCGCAUAAUUUAAAAGGAAUUUAUUUGAGCUUAGCUCCAGUGCGAACACCAAUAUUGUUUCGUAGCCUAUCACAUAGACGUUAGCUCAAUUGCCAGCCGCAGGCUCAUUCUACACGUAUGCUAAUCACGUCCAAGAGCCGUUCGGCUCGUACACACGUAAAAACGCACAAGUUGUUACAAGUCUGCAAACAAGUUGUUGCAAAUCUGUUCACAAGUUGUCUCCACAUUGCUUGUUCCCGGUUGUUGUAACAAGUUUGAAACAAGCUGUUAACGACUUGUAACAAGCUUGAUGGCAUUAUCAAACUUGUUACAAGGUUGCUCUAACAAGUCGAUACAAUCAUGAUAUAACAAG